rnacentral:lncRNA from 1 species
CACCUUGGUGGUGGUGGGGCACCUUGUUUCUCUGGGUGGGAUGAAAGUUCAAGCUCUCUCUCAGCCUUCUUUGACACCUCCCUAGCAAGGCUAGGGUGGGGGUUGGGGUGGCUUGUUGCAGCCUGAUGAGGGUGGAUGUUUAGGUUCCCCACUUGGCCUCUGUGGGUCCACUGGAGGGCUUUGAGGUGUGGCAAGAUCGGAUUGUAGUUUUAGAAAGUUCACCCUGAUUGCCUUAUGAAAAAUAUUAAUAGCUCAGGCAUGGGGUGGAUCAGAGGGUGGAGCAGGAGAGCAGUGAAAAGGCUAUGGUAAGAUCCAGGGUCAGAUAUGGUGGCUGGGAGGAGGACAGUGGAAGCCAGAGUGGUGGUAAGAAGUGAGACUCCAUAUCUACGGCAAAGGUUGAGUUGGCAGCAUUUACCAAGGGACUGGAUGUGGAUGUGUGAGGAAGAUAGGAGAGGAAGUGGACUGACUGAGCCAAUGUGGGGUGAGAGCAAUGGUUGAUUUGGAAGUUGCUU